GCAUUCCUGGUAGCAUCUGAGCUCACGUUCACUUGUGCAGUGGUUAAGACUUCAGAUAAAGUUGGUGCUGCAGGGUGGUUUCUCUCAUCGCUCUAGCCAGACUGCGCUUUCACAGCUGAAUGUCCCCUGAGGCGACUCUGAGCUAACCCACCAGCUGGUAAAAACCUGUUGCUCAAACUGACUGCUGCCUAAUUUAGGAGUAUACCACAAAGAUGGGAAAUGAGAUAUCAGAGGCACGGAAUGACCUGAAGUGUACCAACUGUGGCAAAAGUUUGUCUCCAUGUCAUAACCAUAGUGAUUUCUUCAAAGCAGAAAUAUAUAGCAAACAAGUCUUUGUGUUCAGAAACGGGGAAUAUUAUAGAAAAAUAGUAGAUGGUCCUUAUAAAUAUUACUGCUACGAUUGCUUUCAUAAACGCAGAGGGCAAUAGCAAGAGAAGAAAAAGAAGGAAGAAACAAAGCAAAAGAAGAGAAAAAGAAGAAGGAAGAGGAGAAAAAGCAAGAGUUGAGUCGGAGAAUAGAGGAAUCAAGGGAACGAGCUGAAGAGCAGCAUGAAAAAACA